UUUGAAGAAGCAGCAUCGUUGGACGGUA
rnacentral:sRNA from 1 species